rnacentral:rRNA from 1 species
AUACGGAGGGGGCUAGCGUUGUUCGGAAUUACUGGGCGUAAAGCGCGCGUAGGCGGAUUGAUCAGUCAGGGGUGAAAUCCCGAGGCUUAACCUCGGAACUGCCUUUGAUACUGUCAAUCUUGAGUUCGAGAGAGGUGAGUGGAAUUCCUAGUGUAGAGGUGAAAUUCGUAGAUAUUAGGAAGAACACCAGUGGCGAAGGCGGCUCACUGGCUCGAUACUGACGCUGAGGUGCGAAAGCGUGGGGAGCAAACAGGAUUAGAAACCCUAGUAGUCC